rnacentral:piRNA from 1 species
UUGCAGUAUUCGCCCCGUUGCACGCAGG